rnacentral:lncRNA from 1 species
CACUGACAGGAGGACCCUGGAAAGAGUCACAUCACCUAGGUAAGGAGCCCAGAGGUAUGUCACAAUGCCCCCUGUGAGUAGAACUCAAAAAAAGAGGAGUGUCAUAUAACCUCAUGGCUGUGCCCAGCUUAUAUGUCACAAUCACCCCAGUGGGCAGGGCCCAGGCAUGAGAUCAGAGUCACAACAUGUAGGUGCUGGGCCAAGUGAUAUGUCACAAUGCCCACUGUAGACAGGUUCCAGGAAGAAAAGGAGCAUCACAUCAUCUAGGUGAUAAACCCUGAGAUAUCUCACAAUGACCCCUUUGUGCAGAGAUCACAAAGAAGAAUCAUAUAACCUGUGUGCUGGAUCCAGUGGUAAGUCACUCUCCCUUCUCUGGCCAUGGCCCAGUCAGGAGAGAAGAGUCACAUCAUCUACAUUCUAAAUCCAGAGAUGUGUUACAAUCUCUCCUAUAGGCAACGGUCAGAUAAGAGAGGAGGGCCAUGCCAGAUAGUUGAUGGGCCCUAAAUGUCACAAUGCCCAGUGUGGGCAGGGUCCAGGCAGAAGUCCCACAUCACCUUGGUGAUUAACCCAACAGUAUGUCGCAAUGCCUUCUGAGGUCAGGGCCAAGGCACAAAAGUGACAUAACCUUGGUGUUUGGUCCAACAAUAUGUCAGAAUCUCUUCUUGAGCAGAACCUAGCAAAAAGAGAAGAGUCACAUCAGCUGGAUGGUGGCCAAGAGAUAUGUCACAAUCCCAUCCGUGGGCUGAGCUAAGGAAGGAGAAUAAAAUCACCCAAGUGUUGAGCAGAGGCAGAUGUUAAAAUCACUCCUGCAGGAAGGCCCAGGGAUGAGAUUAACAAUACUGAACAUGUCCUUGUUUUAGACAGUGUCUCCUCAGUGGAGUAAAAGCCUCACGGUGUGUUGAAUCUUGGUCUGAGAGUCGCCAACCCACUGGUGGACCGGAUCCACUUACAAGAGUCAAUGUUCAAACUUUCAACUGUCUCCAGCUGUGAGAUUCAGAACCUCAACAGUCACUUUACAACCUUGGAGAGGUCAUUUGACACCUCUGUGCCUCAGUUUCUUCAUCUGCAAAAUGGAGAUGGUGUCCCGGACUUUGCAGCACUAUUUUGAAGGUCAGAGAUAAUGGGUAUCAGCACUGCGCCUGGGACAUGGUAGGAACUAAGUGUGACACUCUAGGCCUCUCCCCAGUCCUCAGGAGCCUCAUCUACUGCUGCAUAUUAAGAUUCCCCACCCACGGCCGGGUGUGGUGGCUCACACCUGUAAUCCCAGCGCUUUGGGAGGCCAAGGUGGGAGGAUCACCGGAGGUCAGGAGUUCGAGAUCAGCCUGGCCAACAUGGUGAAACCCCAUCUCUACUAAAAAUACAAAAAUUAGCCGGGCGUGCUAGCACAUGCCUGUAAUCCCAGCUACUCAGGAGACUGAGGCAGGAGAAUCGCUUGAACCCAGGAGGCGAAGGUUGCAGUGAGCUGAGAUCACGCCAUCGCACACCAGCCUGGGGGACAAGAGCAAGACUUUGUCUCAAACAAUAAUAAUAAUAAUGAUUGCCCACCCUGAUGCCUUAUGGGAAGCUGAGAGGGAGGAGAAUGAAUACUUGUUGGGUGGACCAGGCCUGCCAGAAUCAGGGUUUGCUGGCUAUGCUCUGCCUUACUUCACGUGGUCACAAUCCCAUGAGAUCCACGCUGUUAACUCCACUGGACAAAGAAGACACUGGGACCUAGGGCAAACAGAACAUUGAAACAGAGCAUUCAAAUGUCUGAAACUGAAACUAACAACAUGGAGCAAAACUUUGUGCAAAAAGAUGUUCACCAUGCCCUUGUUUAUAAGGGUUAUCAUUUGAAAAAUGCUCAAGUGUCCAAUUAUAAAGAAAUGGGGAUGCAGGUUAUGAAGAUGAGAGCGUGAGACAGCGAGCUGUAAGGGAAGCAGGUUACCCAGGGAUGGACAGAGGAUGGGCCCUGGCCCUCAUGUUAUGAAGCUUCUCCACGUGGUGCCUUCCUCUGUCAAAUGGGCAGAAGAAUAUCCUUUUGAUAGAAUUAAAAUAUACGAAAACCAUUUAUUCUCCUGUUACAAUGAUUUUUAUUUCCACAGCAACACUUAGUACCUGCCCCCCCCUCCAGCUUGCCCUGCCCACCAACCAGGAGCGGGGCCAGCCUGGAUCUCUUCUCUGCCGCUGGCGUAGGGGCGGGGGCGGGGGACAGUGUCUUCAGCAAAAGUCUGCGGAUAGAAAGGCCCCGCUCCUGUCCGGACAGCAGGAAUGGGAGAGCCGCCUCCAACCCCAGCCCCAUGGAGCAGGGCAGAAACGCUGCCCACUGCCCUGCUCCUGCCACCAGGAAGGGCGUGUGGGGGGCCACUUUCUGUAAAGAAGAAACCGCCUGAACAACAAGUGGCUCAAGGCACCCUUGUCUAACGACCAGGGACACUGAGCGCCAGGGCCCAAGUCACCAGCAAGAGAAAACCCAGGCGGAGCCCAGGGUGUCCCCCACUGCCCACCAGCCACUGCGGUCAACGUGAAGGGCAAGGGUGCAAGCGGGAUCGCGUCACAGGGAGCCGAGUGAGCCCAGAAAGUAGGAGAAGGACGUUUCCACCCACCUGGAGCGCAGUCCGUUUGCAGCCGGCGGCAGAAUGCUGCUGUCUCCAUCAAUAAAGUCCAUGUUAGCCACCUAGAGGAUAAAAUACCACGAGGAGGAGUAGCAAGGUGCCCCUGUUGACAGAUCUUGAAGCACAAGCUCACUCCCAGAAGCACAGCUGCCUAGUCAACAAACAGCUGACAAUACAUGUCUGAAGGAGCUCAGCUGGGAACAGAAGAAUGGCCCCACUGAGCCUAGCCUAAAUGGCGGACCAUCUCAAUUAUGAGCUAAUAAGUUUUGGAUGAUUUGUUAUGCUGCCAUACCUAACUAAUACAUGCACCCAGUGCAGAUUGGGUGUCAAGAUUUAAAGACAGUUUGAUUAUUAGUCACCUUCUAACAAUGGGCACCCUAAAGGUACUGACAUUUUUCCCGAUUUAAAGUUAAAUGUCUUGUAAGGCAAUGUUGACUGAUGCAGGAAUACUUGUAGACAUGUAUGCAUGUGAUUGGUGCUUAUAUGCACACAGUCCCCCACACCACAGGAAAAAACCGAUGACCAGAGCCUGACCAUUAUGGCCAAGGCCAAAUAGCCAAAGUUUGCCUUUAAUCUAUUUUCUUCAUAUCUAAAAAUUGGAGGUCAAUACUGUGGACAGGUCUGAAGACAUAGAGUUUUGUUCUCCUGUGGCCCCAUCAUUCUUCAGUGGUCUACCUGUGGUUAUUUUAUUCUUGUUACCUUCUGCUCUUUCUAUGACCACUAUCUGUUCCACCCUUGAAACUGAAGACAGAUGUUAGUAGAAAGAGGCUGUUCCCUCAUGUCGGGCAUGUGGGAUACGAUGAGGUUUCUCUUCAAAUAGCCUGAUCAAUCUUUUAUUCUUUAAUUCAUAGUACCCACACACACACCCCUUUUUUUCCUUUUUCUCCUUUUUCCUUUCUGCCUUUGUUAGAUGCCCAGGCACGCCACAGUACCAGGCAUUAUCAGUACCAGCUCACAUUUCUUCCCUUAUUUGGAAAGAGGACUAACUUUCUAGCUCAAUGCAGACACCCCUUCCCCUUCCUCUCUGCAUUCUUUUGCAUGCCCACCUUAUCUAAAAAAAUCAAAUGUUUAGCCAACCAGGAUUAGUUCAGAUUGUACGACCCGACCCUGGCCAAUGGGGAAAGGGUACAGGGGCAGGACUUGUGUCAGGAAUAAAGGCUCUUGUGCCCCUUUGUUCAGGUGUGCUCUCAUGGUGACUGGACAAGAACGCACCCCUCUGUGCAGAACUAAAAUUGCUUUGCUAGGAAUCCUUUGUUCGAGUGUUCAAUUUCCUUAUGAUUUUGAGCGUUAUUCCUAACAGGAAGAAAAGGGAUAUUCAGGCCUUUCACAGACCUGACAACAGAGCUGCACUUCAAUGUGACAGGUAUUGACCAUGUGUGACUCCUGGGAGCCUGGAAUGUGGCUGGUCUGAGCUGCAAUUUGCAAGAAAGGUAAAAUGCAGAGUUAGUUUCAAAGAUUUAGUUCCAUAAAUAUAAAAAUAUACAACAUAUAGAUAAAAAUAUCUAUAUAUAAUAUGGAUAAAAAUACAUAGCAUAAUGCAAUAUAUAGAUACAUAAUUAUGUUAUAUAUAAAUAUAUAUCUCAUUCAUAAUUAUACAUUGCUCACAUAUUAAAAUAAUAUUUUGGAUAUAUUGCUUUAAUUAAAU